GACAGAGGGUGCAAACGUUGUUCGGAAUUACUGGGCGUAAAGCGUGUAUAAACGGCUUCGCAAGUCGGAUGUGAAAGCCCCAAACUCAACCCGGGAAGUGCACUCGAUACUGCGGAGCUAGAGUGUCGGAGAAAUUGGUGGAAUUCUCGGUGUAGAGGUGAAAUUCGUAGAUAUCGAGAGGAACACCGGUGGCGAAGGCGGCCAACUAGACGAACACUGACGCUGAGACACGAAAGCGUGGGGAGCAAACAGG
rnacentral:rRNA from 1 species